rnacentral:misc_RNA from 1 species
UCACAGUUUGCACUGGCAGUCUUGUUAGAGUUCCCGACAUGACUCGCUGGCAACUAACAACAGGGGUUGCGCUCGUUAUAGGACUUAACCUGACACCUCACGGCACGAGCUGACGACAACCAUGCAGCACCUUGUAAAUUGUCUUGCGAAAGAUCUGUUUCCAAACCGGUCAAUCUACAUUUAAGCCUUGGUAAGGUUCCUCGCGUAUCAUCGAAUUAAACCACAUGCUCCACCGCUUGUGCGGGCCCCCGUCAAUUCCUUUGAGUUUCAUUCUUGCGAACGUACUCCCCAGGUGGGAUACUUAUCACUUUCGCUUAGCCACUGAGAUUGCUCCCAACAGCUAGUAUCCAUCGUUUACGGCGUGGACUAC